rnacentral:lncRNA from 1 species
UUCGUUGCUUUCCAAUUCUCUCACACUUGAUUAGCUAUUGACGAGAAAAUUCACAUGUUUUUUUUUUUUUUGGAAAAAUUGAUUCACGGAUUAGAGGAUAUGAGAUAGAAUAUUAAAAAUUGUUCCAUGUGAUUAGACCUUCGUGAAGAGUAGUUUUCAACCCUACAUUAGUCACAAAUUUGAAUCUAGCUCCCAGCGUAAUUACAUCUAUAUUAAUCUAUAUAAUAUAUAAAAUAGGAGUUUAACGGUAACUUUUUCCCACCAAAAUUUCUCUCUCUUCAUUUAUCUUUUUUAGUUUUGAUUCUUUUCUUAAAAUCA